rnacentral:rRNA from 1 species
AUUGAACGCUGGCGGCAGGCCUAACACAUGCAAGUCGAGCGAGCGGCGGACGGGUGAGUAAUGUCUGGGAAACUGCCUGAUGGAGGGGGAUAACUACUGGAAACGGUAGCUAAUACCGCAUACCAUCAGAUGUGCCCAGAUGGGAUUGGCUUGUUGGUGGGGUAAUGGCUAACAAAGGCGACGAUCCCUAGCUGGUCUGAGAGGAUGACCAGCCACAAGGGAACUGAGACACGGUCCAGAUUCCUACGGAGGGAAGCAGUGGGGAAUAUUGCACAAUGGGCGCAAGCCUGAUGCAGCCAGGCCGCGUGUAUGAAGAAGGCCUUCGGGUUGUAAAGUACUUUCAGCGGGGAGGCGUUACCCGCAGAAGAAGCACCGGCUAACUCCGUGCCAGCAGCCGCGGUAAUUC